rnacentral:rRNA from 1 species
GAUGAACGCUGGCGGCGUGCCUAAUACAUGCAAGUCGAGCGAACGGACGAGAAGCUUGCUUCUCUGAUGUUAGCGGCGGACGGGUGAGUAACACGUGGAUAACCUACCUAUAAGACUGGGAUAACUUCGGGAAACCGUAGCUAAUACCGGAUAAUAUUUUGAACCGCAUGGUUCAAAAGUGAAAGACGGUCUUGCUGUCACUUAUCGAUGGAUCCGCGCUGCAUUAGCUAGUUGGUAAGGUAACGGCUUACCAAGGCAACGAUGCAUAGCCGACCUGAGAGGGUGAUCGGCCACACUGGAACUGAGACACGGUCCAGACUCCUACGGGAGGCAGCAGUAGGGAAUCUUCCGCAAUGGGCGAAAGCCUGACGGAGCAACGCCGCGUGAGUGAUGAAGGUCUUCGGAUCGUAAAACUCUGUUAUUAGGGAAGAACAUAUGUGUAAGUAACUGUGCACAUCUUGACGGUACCUAAUCAGAAAGCCACGGCUAACUACGUG